UGGGGAAUUUUGGACAAUGGGGGAAACCCUGAUCCAGCCAUCCCGCGUGUGCGAUGAAGGCCUUCGGGUUGUAAAGUACUUUUGGCAGGAAAGAAACGUCAUGGGUUAAUACCCCGUGAAACUGACGGUACCUGCAGAAUAAGCACCGGCUAACUACGUGCCAGUAGCCGCGGUAAUACGUAGUGUGCAAGCGUUAAUCGGAAUUACUGGGCGUAAAGCGUGCGCAGGCGGUUCGGAAAGAAAGAUGUGAAAUACCAGAGCUAAACAUUGGAACUGCAUUUUUAACUACCGGGCUAGAGUGUGUCAGAGGGAGGUGGAAUUCCGCGUGUAGCAGUGAAAUGCGUAGAUAUGAGGAGGAACACCGAUGGCGAAGGCAGCAUACUGGGAUAACACUGACGAUCAUGCACGAAAGCGUGGGGAGCAAACAGG
rnacentral:rRNA from 1 species